AGGCUGCCGCAAAGAUAAAGACUGCUCUCCGUGCAUGCCCAGGGUAGGAAAUCAUGCAUUUAAAAUAAAGGUUUGCCUUACUCAUUUAGGAACAACCUUUAAAAUGUUGUAGGUAGCAGAGGACCGGAGCGGUCAGUCCGGUGCAAACGCAGCGUCUGUUUGGUGCGAUGCUGCGAGAGGCGGCUGCUCCGGCGCCCGCGGGGUGGGGUGGAGAGGACCCGGCUGGGCCGGCGAAACCCCAGCUCAGCUCCUGUCUCCUCCACAGCCUUUUUCCAGGCUUCUGUGUUCAUGCCUGAGGACAACAGUGCUGGAGCUAUGGGGUGCUGUGUGUACACGUCAGCACCUUCCAAAACCUGGUUUUAAAAAGGAAUAAAUGUAUUCUGAAGUAUUUGUGUUUUUAGUACUUACAUUUGAGAUACUCGAAAUGAUUCUGGAAGGGGGUUCUGGCUGGAUUAGCUGCUGGGCAUGCUCAGCCUUCAUCUGCUCAUAACUGAGAGCUCAGGGUGGCUUGGAGGAAGAGGAAGGGUCACCCUGUGCAGUCGGGAUCACCUUCAUUCAAGAUAAAUGGGGUCAAAGGAUGUUUGCUCUGGAGGUGGCAAAUUACCCCCCACUGGUGUUCCAUCUGUUACUUUGCCGCAAAGAACAAACCGAGGUUUCACAAAGCCUCAGAACUGGUUUCCCCGCAGGACUGCUUGUAAAUGCUCCAAAGAGAAGACCAGCACAAUCUGUUGGGCUACAAACGUCCCUAAGAAGGCAACCUUUUUAAAAAAAAUCCUUCCUCUUCAGAGUUGACAGCAUCAGAGAAGAAGGAAGGAUCCUGACAUUGCUCUCAGGGAUAGAAACUGGGAAAAGAUUGUACAGCUUACAGGAUGAGAAAGAAAUUAAACUGCAGCGUACAGCAACCCGAUAUCGCAGCUGCAGGCUCACCCAGUAGCUGAAACCAAUCUAAUCUGUUGGACUCUUUAUUCCCAAAGCCUCCUGAGACCUUGGAGUGAACGAAAGUACCCGGAGCGAAGAGAAAGUUUCCAGCCUGGAGGAGCAAAAGAGAUGUCACAUUUAUUUAUAAAGAGAGAGGGGACAGUGAAAAAGAAGUCAAUCUCGGGUGCCUUCAAGCACUGCCGGGCGGAUUCUGGAAGAUAAGUGCCAGUGUUGUCAGAGAAACAGCUCUGAUAACGUUGAUGGAGGAGCCAUGAACAAUGGCAGCGGCUUGGAAUCCUUGGAGCUACUGUUGAUGUAAAUGUAGAGGAAGAGCUAAAACAGCAGUGCCCAACCUGUCCCUUACAGCCACCACAGGGCCCCAGGGACACUCCUGCUUUGCUCCAGGCAAGUGUGGGGGAGAAACCUUCAGGCCAGCACAGAGUGGAAAGGGCGGUGAUGCUCAGGGGGGUAAAGGAGAGCAAAAGCGUUGGGCCACGGGGACGAGGGGGCAGGAGGGAGCAGCCUGAAGGAGGUGGGGGAAGUCAUGUAGUCACCAGGUGGACAAGAGGUUGCCUGUGGGCCAGCUCGUGUGGAAACGCACUGAGAGAAAAAUGCUCUAAGCUAUGGAAAUCGCUUCCUUAACACACUGCAAAAACAGACUUUCCAUAUAUCGCAGAGAAAGAGGCCAGUUAGUCAUCUGCAGCUGGCAAGUUUUCAUAAACACUGCUGCUCCUGCGAGCUGUCAGGAAUAUUCCCUCAGCGCAUUUGAAGGGAUUCAUGGGCUGCGCCGCAGACGUGUGCAAUUUGACAUGACAGAGUGCUGCAGCUUUCGCAGAAUGGUCAAAGCCUCAACAAGAUUAUUCAAGAACUUAGUGACUGUCCUUUGGCUCCGAGCUGCCCUUGUUGGCGCAGGGAUGGCUGGACCGGAGUCACCGCAUCACGGUGCUGAGGGGCUGUGGUGCAACCUGCUCGAACCAGAUCCGCUCAGAGGAACCUGUUCCACGCUUUGCCCAGGUCUUGAACCUGAAGAAGAAACUGCAGAGUGGAAACCUUGGAGAGAACUGAAUCAUUUGACAUCUACAGCAAAAUCUUGGACCUCGGUCUAAUUGAGGUCCCUUUCACAUGCCCUGUUCCGCGUCGUGGAAUGGGGAAAAAGCAGAGGCUGAGACUGUGCUACUGCACUAUUUCAAAUUCUCAAGAUGCAAAAAGCACUAGAAACAUUAUUAGUGCUUAUGCUGUUCCAGACUAAGACACAAAAAUCAUGCAGAGGCUGUUGGGACAACCUCUGGCACAGCUGGUCCCUUCCAGGGGCUAAGCUGGUCCUAGCACAAGCACUUCCUUGUCAGGCUGUUCAGGGUUAUUGAUUUACUGAGACAGAAUGUUAUUUAUUAUGGAAUCCAUUAAAAGGUUUGUUGCUUUCUUUUUUCUUA